CAGGUCCAAGUAAUAGCUACCAUCUUUGAUUCAAUCCAGUUGUGGUCGUGAUCGGAGGCGAGGUUUUGGGAUAUGGGUUUGUUUGCUUCUUGUGGGUCAUAGUAGGUGUCAUCAUGACUUGAGAAAUUGGAUCGUGACAGCUUAAUCCUUAAGAAAAUCAUGGUAAUGAUAAAGAAACACAGACGAAUUUCCACAAAGCAACAGAAGGAUAGGAGUCGGGAGCCACCAAACAUAUAGCAACAAAAAGAGAUGCUUUUGUAGAUUACCGAUGAAACUCAGGAUCCAAAUGGGUGUAUGCAGGAAAUAACUCCAAAGAGGAGGUUAAAGGAAUUGGUACCUGCAAACUUGAAAUGCAUGGUGACCGAACUCUGCUCCUACAUGAUAUGCUAUU